rnacentral:rRNA from 1 species
CCUACGGGUGGCAGCAGUGAGGAAUAUUGGUCAAUGGGCGGAAGCCUGAACCAGCCAAGUCGCGUGAGGGAUUAAGGCCCUGCGGGUCGUAAACCUCUUUUGCCGGGGAGCAGUGCUCCGUACGCGUCCGGACCUGGAGAGUCCCCGCAGAAAAAGCAUCGCCUAACUCCUGGCCAGCAGCCGCGGUAAUACGGAGGAUGCGAGCGUUAUCCGGUUUUAUUGGGUUAAAAGGGUGCAUAGGCGGGCAUUUAAGCCGGCGGAAAAAUGUCGGGGCUAAACCCCGGCCUGCCGUCGGAACUGGGGCCUUGAGUGGGCGAGAAGUAGGCGGAAUGCGUGGUGUAGCGGUGAAAUGCAUAGAGAUCACGCAGAACCCCGAUUGCGAAGGCAGCAUACCGGCGCCCGACUGACGCUGAGGCACGAAAGUGCGGGGAUCGAACAGGAUUAGAUACCCUUGUAGUC